GACGAACGCUGGCGGCGUGCUUAACACAUGCAAGUCGAGCGGAAAGGCCCUUCGGGGUACUCGAGCGGCGAACGGGUGAGUAACACGUGAGUAACCUGCCCCAGACUUUGGGAUAACCCUCGGAAACGGGGGCUAAUACCGGAUACGACACAGCUUCGCAUGGGGUCUGUGUGGAAAGUUUUUCGGUUUGGGAUGGGCUCGCGGCCUAUCAGCUUGUUGGUGGGGUGAUGGCCUACCAAGGCGACGACGGGUAGCCGGCCUGAGAGGGCGACCGGCCACACUGGGACUGAGACACGGCCCAAACUCCUACGGGAGGCAGCAGUGGGGAAUAUUGCACAAUGGGCGGAAGCCUGAUGCAGCGACGCCGCGUGAGGGAUGACGGCCUUCGGGUUGUAAACCUCUUUCAGCAGGGACGAAGCGUAAGUGACGGUACCUGCAGAAGAAGCGCCGGCCAACUACGUG
rnacentral:rRNA from 1 species